UAACUCAGGCUUUUCUGCAUUUCGCAUAAAUCUUUCGCCUUUUACUAAAGAUUUCCGUGCAGAUGGGCAAUUUGAUGAGUCUUUAAUAAUUUUUCACUGGCCGAGCGAAAGUUCGGCCU
rnacentral:snRNA from 1 species